rnacentral:rRNA from 1 species
GCGGGGCAAGCCGGCAAUGUAAAUUCUGGUGUAAAAGCCCGGGAGGUCAACUCCGGUUUGCUUUCGAAAACUGUGUAACUUUAGUGCGGAAGAGGAAAGCGGGUAUUCCCCUUGUAUCGGUGAAAUUCGUAGAGAUUUGGGGGAAACACCAGUGGCGAAGGCGGCUUUCUGGUCUUUAACUUACCCUGAGGCGCGAAAGCGUGGGGAGCAAACAGGAUUAAAUACCCUGGUAGUCCCCGCCGUAAACGAUGAGUGCUAGGUGUUGGGGGUUUCAAUACCCUCAGUGCGCCAGCUAACGCAAUAAGCACUCCACCUGGGGAGUACGCUCGCAAGAGUGAAACUCAAAGGAAUUAACGUUGUUUUGUACAAGCGGUGGAGCAUGUGGUUUAAUUUGAAGCAACGCGAAGAACCUUACCAGGUCUUGACAUCCCGCUGACCGCUCUGGAGACAGAGCUUCCCUUCGGGGCAGCGGUGACAGGUGGUGCAUGGUUGUCGUCAGCUCGUGUCGUGAGAUGUUGGGUUAAGUCCCGCAACGAGCGCAACCCUUAUCUUUAGUUGCCAGCAUUCAGUUGGGCACUCUAGAGAGACUGCCGUCGACAAGACGGAGGAAGGCGGGGAUGACGUCAAAUCAUCAUGCCCCUUAUGACCUGGGCUACACACGUGCUACAAUGGUUGGUACAACGGGAUGCUACCUCGCGAGGGGACGCCAAUCUCUGAAAACCAAUCUCAGUUCGGAUUGUAGGCUGCAACUCGCCUACAUGAAGUCGGAAUCGCUAGUAAUCGCGAUCAGCUGCGCGAUCUCC